GGUGACUUGCCGCCCACCACCACUCCAGCUCCCACAACCACCACCACGAAGCCCCCUCCCAGAAAUGGGAAAGUGUGCACAACCUUUUCCUGUAAUGGAGAUGGAUGCUUCAAAGGCCAGAAGUCUGCUGCUGAAUGCAACGUUGGAUUCGACUUCUGUGAGAUGAAGAAGACUGGCUCAAAUUACGUGGCUGGAUGUAGCAAAGUCUGCAAGACCGCCAGCCCAGCCUGUACCACAGGAGCAGCUGGCCCCUGUUACCAGGAAUGCUGCCAAGCUACCCCUAAAACUAGCUGCCUGAAACUGGAUGGCAACGUGCACUUCAACGGCGCUGGGCAGGUGGCUCUGGCCCCAAUCCUGAAACUCCUGGCCUGUGGUGUGGGUCUUGUCAUGCAUUACAGCCUCUCCACUUUCCUUCAGGGUUAAGCAAUGACCCUCUGAGCUCUGUAGACUGACUAGGGAAGGAUUCAGGGGCACACACAAUAUUGGCUAAAACUGGCACAAGAUCUAGGGUUUCUGUAUCUCUUAAAUUCAGCUAAGGUUGGCUAGAAAAUUCCAUCUAGUGAAUCAGCAUCACAGGAAGGGAGAUCGCUGGAACCCGCAGGCCUUCUCCUCUCUGUGCAGGCCUGGCUAGCGCCCAUGGAAGUUAGUGGGUAGCACCCAUGGGUGUUUGUGAAAUACAGACCCCAGUGAGUGCAGCUGGGUAUGUCUACGCUGCAGUAAAACACCACUGCUGGCCCGUGUCAGAUGACUCCAGAACCCUGCGAGGUGGGAGGGUCCUAGAGCCUGGGCUUCUGCCUAAGCCCAGUCUCUACACUGUGAAUUUUACAGUCCCGCACCCUGAGCCCCACGAGCCUGAGUCAGCUGCCGUGGGCCAGCCACAGGUGUCCUACUGCAGUGUCGACAGACCCUUAAUCUCUCCCAUGUGGAUUCUCCAAUUUGAUACAGGGGAGGGUGGAAACUAGUGGCCAUGGGGAUGGAUGUGGGGCUCCCAGACCUGUGGAGAGGGUAGGCAUUGUGCCACAUGCUUCCUUCUUGCCAGACUGACUCCUGGCUAUGCUGCCUCUGCAGAAGAGAUUAGGAGCUGGCUAGCUGCUGUGGGGCAGCCCUCAGUGAAACCCCCUCCCUUCUGAGCGCUAGUCAUUCAGUGCCAGCACCUCUUCCUGUCUCAUGGGGGUGAAGAGGGCAAACUCCAGCCACUAUGGGACUCUGUGAAUUACUCUGCCACCGCUCACGCCUUGUUUGCAUGUAAAGCAGCUGUCUGUGUAGCAGGGAGGGUGAUUGAGUGAAAUCACAGUCCUCUGCUGCACACACACCCCCAGCCCUCCCCCAAAGUAGGAAAACACUUGAAUGGGAGUAUCCGAGCAGGGAGAGCUUUCCCUCAUGCUUCUGAAGAGCAGCUAAGGUGCCUGUGCUAACCAAGGGAACACGCUGUUGAGGGGGCAAGGCAGGACUCGGGGCUGGUCUACACUGGGCACUUACACUGACAUAGCUAUGUCUCUCAGGGAUGUGAAAAACACCUCUGGGAGAUGUAGCUCUGCCGACCUAACCCCUGCGUAGACAUCGCCAGGUCGAUGGAACAAUUCUUCCCUCAGCCUAGCUGCUGCCUAUCGGGGAGAACCAAUGGGAGAACCCCUCCCGUUGGCAUAGGCAGUAUCUGCGCUGAAGCACUACAGCGGUACUGCUGCAGCUUAAGUGUAGACACACCCUUGGAUUCCUAACCCAAGAGCUGCCCUGGCCGGUAAACCAACUGGCCUGAGCUGUCGGCUGAAAUCAUUGGCAUCUUCUUAAAGGCCAAGUUUGUAGAACCUCCUGUCUUAACAUCUCCUGAGGCUAGACUACUCUCCCAGCAUCCUGGUAAACGCUGCCCCACAUCAGGGACUAAUCAAUGGCCCCACCGACCCCUGAAGGCAGUAGUUCCCCAGUUCCCCUAGCUGUACGUAGUCACCACCCAUAGGCCAGAGAGCACAAAUCUGACCUUGCCUUGGUCUGAGUGGCAGCCCCGCUGCUGACAGUCACUGGGCCAGCUGACUUGAAUGUUGGCUGAUAUUAGUGUAUCUGAUUCUUUGGUUGAUUUAGGUUAGCUCGUAUUAGUAGUUCUGAAUAGGAAUAGGUUGCGGUUUCCAAGUUCCAUACACGACCUCUAAGCCUUGUUUUAACUUCCCCGGUUAGUUCCUUUUUGGAAUCUUAUGUUUUUAAUGAACCUUAAACCCUCAUGAUUGUGCCUUUCCCUGUGAAAUCCAAAGGGGAACAGAGCAGACACGCAGCAUACGCACUAAGCAGGCUGCAAAGCUGCGCUCUUCCCUGCCCAAAACCUGUAGGACUAUGUGACUUGCAAACAAAGUGACGCUGCCUGGGGCUACUGCCAUGUGACUUUGGAUUACCUGGAACGAAUGACAUCCCGUCCCGCAUGGGCGGCGUGCAUAAUAGGCUGGGGAAUGCUGUGCCUCCCCAAACAUCCCCGCAUGGCCCCGCCCAGGCUCUGCCCCAAAACCCCCUCCUGCUGCUAGUUGGCCCCAGCUCAGGCAGGCUGCUCCUCUUCUGGGAAGCUGGCUGGGGAUAGGGCAGCUGGGACUUGCGGUGUUUGGGACCACCCAGUGCUGGGGGGCCCUUGGCGCUGGGACUGUGUGCUGCCCACCCGGUGCUUUGGGGCUGAGGGGGGUUGUGCACCACCCGCCCAGUCUCCGGGGCUGAGGGGGGCCAUGCACUGCCCACCUGGUGCUCCGGGACUGACGGGGCAGGGGUCACGUGCCGCCCACCCAGUGCUCUGGGGCUGAGGAGAGGCCGUGCACUGCCUGCUCGCUCAGGCUCCUGUGCUGGUGGGGGGGCCGCCCGCUGGGUUCUCUGGGGCUGCAGGUGC